GCAGAUAAAAAGAUAGUAGUUGGAAUUYAGAAGGUCCUUAGCAAUCCGCCCCUUAGGGGAGCGGRUGCUGKCCUCCUAUGUUCCUAACGGUCCUCAUCCGCGAGGGUGGGGAAUCAACCGCUAGGAUCGUUUACUUUGAGGAAAUUAGAGUGUUCAAAGCAGGCGUAACUCGCCUCCGAAUACGUUAGCAUGGGAUAAUGGAAUACGACUUCGGUCUUGUUUCGUUGGUUUCGCUUGGCUGAAGUAAUGAUUGAUAGGGACAGUUGGGGGCAUUAGUAUUUAGUUGUCAGAGGUGAAAUUCUAGGAUUUACUAAAGACUGACCAAUGCGAAAGCAUUUGCCAAGGAUGUUUUCAUUAAUCAAGAACGAAAGUAGGGGGAUCGAAGACGAUCAGAUACCGUCGUAGUCUCUACCGUAAACUAUGCCGACCAGGGAUCCGGAGAGUUUGCAUGGAUGACUCCCCGGGCACCUUGUGAGAAAUCAUAAGUGUUUGGGUUUUGGGGGGAGUAUGGUCGCAAGGCUGAAACUAAAGGAAUGACGAAGCUAACACAUUCC
rnacentral:rRNA from 1 species